AAAAUGCGAUACUUGGUGUGAAUUGCAGAAUCCCGUGAACCAUCGAGUUUUUGAACGCAAGUUGCGCCCGAAGCCAUCCGGCUGAGGGCACGCCUGCCUGGGCGUCACGCAUCGCGUCGCUCCCCAUCAUACCUCCCCAACGGGUUGGCAUGGUGUUGGGGGCGGAUAAUGGCCUCCCGUGCUUGUGUUUCGGUUGGCCUAAAUAAGAGUUCCCUUCGGCGGACACACGACUAGUGGUGGUUGAAUAGACCCUCGUCUUUUGUUGCGUGUCGUGAGCUGUAAGGGUAGCCCUCAUCAAAGACCCCAUUGUAUCGUCUUCGGAUGAUGCUUCGACCGCGACCCCAGGUCAGGCGGGACUACCCGCUGAGUUUAAGC
rnacentral:misc_RNA from 1 species